rnacentral:rRNA from 1 species
CGGUAGGUGAACCUGCCGUUGGAUCAGUUCUAGUUAUUAACUAUAACCAACUUCUUUUUUUAAUAACAAAAACCAUAUACAAAACAAAAAAUAAAAUGUGUGAAAAAAUAACCUAGGCUUACCAAUGGAUGUCUUGGCUCCUCACACGAUGAAGAACGUUGCAUAAUGUGUUAAGUAACUGGAGUUGCAAACAUUGUGACAAGUUAAUCUUUGAAUGCAAAUUGCGCUUAUCCUUUCCCUCGGGUUGGGAUUGCAUGUAUGCCACAGUACUGCAUAACAUAAAUUAUAUUCUUUCUCUUAAAACAGAAAGCAAAUAAUAAUUUAAGCUAAAAAGUACGUAGUCUGCGACAUACAGGAAGACCCGCUGAACUGAAGCAGGG